rnacentral:rRNA from 1 species
GACGAACGCUGGCGGCGUGCUUAACACAUGCAAGUCGAACGGAAAGGCCCUGCUUUUGUGGGGUGCUCGAGUGGCGAACGGGUGAGUAACACGUGAGUAACCUGCCCUUGACCUUGGGAUAACCUCAGGACACUGGGUCUCAUACCGGAUAGGAGCUCCUGCUGCAUGGUGGGGGUUGGAAAGUUUCGGCGGUUGGGGAUGGACUCGCGGCUUAUCAGCUUGUUGGUGGGGUAGUGGCUUACCAAGGCUUUGACGGGUGGCAGGGCUGAGAGGCUGACCGGCCACAUUGGGACUGAGAUGCGGCCCAGACUCCUACGGGAGGCAGCGGUGGGGAAUAGUGCAUAAUGGGCGGAGGGCUGAUGCAGUAACGCCGCGUGCGGGAUGACGGGCUUCGGGUUGUGACCCGCUUUCGCCUGUGACGAAGCGUGAGUGACGGUAAUGGGUAAAGAAGCACCGGCUAACUACGUG